GCUUGUUGGUAAUUUUGCAUCU
rnacentral:miRNA from 1 species